rnacentral:misc_RNA from 1 species
GAUGAAGAACGCAGCGAAAUGCGAUAAGUAAUGUGAAUUGGAGAAUUCAGUGAAUCAUCGAAUCUUUGAACGCACAUUGCGCCCGCCAGUAUUCUGGCGGGCAUGCCUGUCUGAGCGUCAUUUCAACCCUCAUGCCCCUAGGGCGUGGUGUUGGGGAUCGGCCAAAGCCCGCGAGGGACGGCCGGCCCCUAAAUCUAGUGGCGGACCCGUCGUGGCCUCCUCUGCGAAGUAGUGAUAUUCCGCAUCGGAGAGCGACGAGCCCCUGCCGUUAAACCCCCAACUUUCCAAGGUUGACCUCAGAUCAGGUAGGAAUACCCGCUGAACUUAAGCAUAUCAAUAAGCGGAGGA